GAUGAACGCUGGCGGCGUGCCUAAUACAUGCAAGUCGAGCGAACAGACGAGGAGCUUGCUCCUCAGACGUUAGCGGCGGACGGGUGAGUAACACGUGGAUAACCUACCUAUAAGACUGGGAUAACUUCGGGAAACCGGAGCUAAUACCGGAUAAUAUAUUGAACCGCACGGUUCAAUAGUGAAAGACGGUUUUGCUGUCACUUAUAGAUGGAUCCGCGCCGCAUUAGCUAGUUGGUAAGGUAACGGCUUACCAAGGCGACGAUGCGUAGCCGACCUGAGAGGGUGAUCGGCCACACUGGAACUGAGACACGGUCCAGACUCCUACGGGAGGCAGCAGUAGGGAAUCUUCCGCAAUGGGCGAAAGCCUGACGGAGCAACGCCGCGUGAGUGAUGAAGGUCUUCGGAUCGUAAAACUCUGUUAUUAGGGAAGAACAAAUGUGUAAGUAACUAUGCACGUCUUGACGGUACCUAAUCAGAAAGCCACGGCUAACUACGUG
rnacentral:rRNA from 1 species